rnacentral:rRNA from 1 species
GACGAACGCUGGCGGCGUGCUUAACACAUGCAAGUCGAACGGGAUUUAGUAGACAGAAGCCUCUGCUAAAGAUUACUAAUGAGAGUGGCGAACGGGUGAGUAACGCGUGAGCAACCUGCCUAUGACAGUGGGAUAGCCUCGGGAAACCGGGAUUAAUACCGCAUAAAAUCGUAGAAACACAUGUUUUAACGGUCAAAGAUUUAUCGGUCAUAGAUGGGCUCGCGUCUGAUUAGCUAGUUGGUGAGAUAACAGCCCACCAAGGCGACGAUCAGUAGCCGGUCUGAGAGGAUGAACGGCCACAUUGGAACUGAGACACGGUCCAAACUCCUACGGGAGGCAGCAGUGGGGAAUAUUGCACAAUGGGGGAAACCCUGAUGCAGCGACGCCGCGUGAACGAAGAAGGUAUUCGUAUCGUAAAGUUCUGUCCUAUGGGAAGAUAAUGACAGUACCAUAGAAGAAAGCUCCGGCUAAAUACGUG